rnacentral:rRNA from 1 species
AGUGAACGCUGGCGGUAGGCCUAACACAUGCAAGUCGAACGGCAGCACAGGAGAGCUUGCUCUCUGGGUGGCGAGUGGCGGACGGGUGAGGAAUACAUCGGAAUCUACUUUUUCGUGGGGGAUAACGUAGGGAAACUUACGCUAAUACCGCAUACGACCUACGGGUGAAAGCAGGGGACCUUCGGGCCUUGCGCGAUUGAAUGAGCCGAUGUCGGAUUAGCUAGUUGGCGGGGUAAAGGCCCACCAAGGCGACGAUCCGUAGCUGGUCUGAGAGGCUGAUGAGCCACACUGGAACUGAGACACGGUCCAGACUCCUACGGGAGGCAGCAGUGGGGAAUAUUGGACAAUGGGCGCAAGCCUGAUCCAGCCAUACCGCGUGGGUGAAGAAGGCCUUCGGGUUGUAAAGCCCUUUUGUUGGGAAAGAAAUCCAGCCGGCUAAUACCUGGUUGGGAUGACGGUACCCAAAGAAUAAGCACCGGCUAACUUCGUGCCAGCAGCCGCAGUAAAAC